rnacentral:rRNA from 1 species
UGGGGAAUUUUGCACAAUGGGCGCAAGCCUGAUGCAGCCAUGCCGCGUGUGUGAAGAAGGCCUUCGGGUUGUAAAGCACUUUCAGCGGGGAGGAAGGCGAUAAGGCUAAUAACCUUGUCGAUUGACGUUACCCGCAGAAGAAGCACCGGCUAACUCCGUGCCAGCAGCCGCGGUAAUACGGAGGGUGCAAGCGUUAAUCGGAAUUACUGGGCGUAAAGCGCACGCAGGCGGUCUGUCAAGUCGGAUGUGAAAUCCCCGGGCUUAACCUGGGAACUGCAUUCGAAACUGGGAGGCUAGAGUCUUGUAGAGGGGGGUAGAAUUCCAGGUGUAGCGGUGAAAUGCGUAGAGAUCUGGAGGAAUACCGGUGGCGAAGGCGGCCCCCUGGACAAAGACUGACGCUCAGGUGCGAAAGCGUGGGGAGCAAACAGG